rnacentral:rRNA from 1 species
UACAGGGGGUGCAAACGUUGCUCGGAAUUAUUGGGCGUAAAGAGCUCGUAGGCGGUUUGUCGCGUCUGCUGUGAAAACCCGAGGCUCAACCUCGGGCCUGCAGUGGGUACGGGCAGACUAGAGUGCGGUAGGGGAGAUUGGAAUUCCUGGUGUAGCGGUGGAAUGCGCAGAUAUCAGGAGGAACACCGGUGGCGAAGGCGGGUCUCUGGGCCAUUACUGACGCUGAGGAGCGAAAGCGUGGGGAGCGAACAGG